rnacentral:rRNA from 1 species
AUUGAACGCUGGCGGCAGGCCUAACACAUGCAAGUCGAACGAGGGGCGGACGGGUGAGUAAUGUAUGGGAAACUGCCUGAUGGAGGGGGAUAAGUACUGGAAAAGGUAGCUAAUAGCGCAUACCAACGGAUGGGACCAGAUGGGAGUAGCUAUCAGGUGGGGUAAAGGCUCACCUAGGCGACGAUCCCAAGCUGGUCUGAGAGGAUGACCAGCCACACUGGAACUGAGACACUGUCCAGACUCCUACGGGAGGCAGCAGUGGGGAAUAUUGCACAAUGGGCGCAAGCCUGAUGCAGCCAUGCCGCGUGUAUGAAGAAGGCCUUCGGGUUGUAAAGUACUUUCAGCGGGGAGGCGUUACCCGCAGAAGAAGCACCGGCUAACUCCGUGCCAGCAGCCGCGGUAAUUC